rnacentral:rRNA from 1 species
CCUACGGGAGGCAGCAGUGGGGAAUCUUGCGCAAUUGGCGAAAGCCUGACGCAGCGACGCCGCGUGAGGGAUGAAGGUCUUCGGAUCGUAAACCUCUGUCAUCAUGGAAGAACGGUCACUGUGCUAAUCAGCAGUGAAUUGACGGUACCUGCAAAGGACACACCGGCUAACUCCGUGCCAGCAGCCGCGGGACUACGUAGGGUGCGAGCGUUAAUCGGAAUUACUGGGCGUAAAGCGCUCGUAGGCGGUAUGUCAAGUCAAGGGUGAAAUCCCCGCGCUCAACGUGGGAACUGCCUUUGAAACUGGCAAACUGGAGUGUGUGAGAGGAUAGUGGAAUUCCACGGGUAG